UAGGGAAUCUUCCGCAAUGGGCGAAAGCCUGACGGAGCAACGCCGCGUGAGUGAUGAAGGUCUUCGGAUCGUAAAACUCUGUUAUUAGGGAAGAACAAAUGUGUAAGUAACUAUGCACGUCUUGACGGUACCUAAUCAGAAAGCCACGGCUAACUACGUGCCAGCAGCCGCGGUAAUACGUAGGUGGCAAGCGUUAUCCGGAAGUAUUGGGCGUAAAGCGCGCGUAGGCGGUUUUUUAAGUCUGAUGUGAAAGCCCACGGCUCAACCGUGGAGGGUCAUUGGAAACUGGAAAACUUGAGUGCAGAAGAGGAAAGUGGAAUUCCAUGUGUAGCGGUGAAAUGCGCAGAGAUAUGGAGGAACACCAGUGGCGAAGGCGACUUUCUGGUCUGUAACUGACGCUGAUGUGCGAAAGCGUGGUGAUCAAACAGG
rnacentral:rRNA from 1 species